GACGAACGCUGGCGGCGUGCUUAACACAUGCAAGUCGAACGGAAAGGCCCAGCUUUUGUGGGGUGCUCGAGUGGCGAACGGGUGAGUAACACGUGAGUAACCUGCCCUUGACUUUGGGAUAACUUCAGGCAACUGGGGCUAAUACCGGAUAGGAGCUCCUGCUGCAUGGUGGGGGUUGGAAAGUUUCGGCGGUUGGGGAUGGACUCGCGGCGUAUCAGCUUGUUGGUGGGGUAGUGGCUUACCAAGGCGUCGACGGGUAGCCGGCCUGAGAGGGUGAUCGGGCACACGGGAACUGAGACAGGGUCGAGACGAGUGCGGGAGGGAGCAGGGGGGAAUAGUGGAAAAUGGGCGAAAGCCUGAUCCAGCGAUGCCGCGUGGGGGAAGAAGGGCUUCGGAUUGUAAAGCACUGUAAGUUGGGAGGAAGGGCAGUAAGUUAAUACCUUGCUGUUUUGACGUUAACAAAAGAAGAAGCACCGGCUAACUUCGUG
rnacentral:rRNA from 1 species